CCUACGGGUGGCAGCAGUGAGGAAUAUUGGUCAAUGGGCGAGAGCCUGAACCAGCCAAGUCGCGUGAGGGAGUACUGCCCUAUGGGUUGUAAACCUCUUUUGUCGGGGAGCAAAAGCCGGACGUGUCCGGCUGUGAGAGUACCCGAAGAAAAAGCAUCGGCUAACUCCGUGCCAGCAGCCGCGGUAAUACGGAGGAUGCGAGCGUUAUCCCGAUUUAUUGGGUUUAAAGGGUGCGCAGGCGGAUUUUUAAGUCAGCGGUCAAAUCGUGGGGGUCAACCCCAUCCAGCCGGUGGAACUGGGGGUCUAGAGGGUGCGAGAGGUAUGCGGAAAGCGGGGGGUAGCGGUGAAAAGCAUAGAUAUCACGCAGAACCCCGAUUGCGAAGGCAGCAUACCGGUGCACAACUGACGCUCAGGCACGAAAGCGUGGGUAUCGAACAGGAUUAGAUACCCCUGGUAGUC
rnacentral:rRNA from 1 species